GCCUCCAACACCUGAGCAGCCCAUAAGCCUGCCGCCCUGAACACACUCGUACGUGCCGUUCACACCCAGAGUCAACAGAGAGAGCCAGCCCAGAAUUACUCUUUGCAGGUCUUUUCCCCUGAAGGUAAUUAGAGCUGGUUUCUUCCGCUGCCUCCCAGAGUGACUUGACUGAUGACUGAUGAUGUACAUCAUAGAAGAUCCACGUGUCCAUCCCAGUGGCUCAUUUGAGUGUGCUUUCAGGGACACACAACCCCAGCCCAUCUCAGAAUCCUGGAUUUCUACACCUCCUUUCCAUGGAACAGUUGUGGUGGUCCCAGGUCCUGAGACCCUCUCCAGUUUGGCCUGGGAAUGCUCAAGUGUUUGAGUGGGCCCUCCUUACUGGCACCCUUCUUCUUGGGGUAGAAUGACAUCAGUGCAGUAGUCACCAUGGGCUCAGCCUGACUGAGUAAUAAGAGGAUCUGUUUGUGCAAUUGUCUCUGCAAUGUGCAACACAGAAUAUGGCAGAGACUCAAGUCAACUUUGUUUGGAGGAAAGGGACAGCAUUGGCUCCUGUCACUGAAGAAGGCACGAGUGGGAGUGAGCAGGGACACGGCUCCAGCAGGGACAGCUGCUCCAGCUUCUGUCUCAGUUUAGCUCAGGUGACAUGCUGCUACCCAAUGCCUGGAGCUGUCAACCUCUACCUGCUCCCAGUGCAGGAUCUUCAUUGUCAUUGGGUUAUUGGUCCAUCUCUGGGAUGAGAGCCUGCCUCUGAGGUCCGCUCUCAGGGACACCCGUCUCAAAUACGGUUCCCGAGGAGCAGAACUGAAGCGUGUUUAUUCAGGAUCUUGCAGUUGGAACAUUCUUUGUUGACUAAAAAGGACAUAGACGGAAAUAAAAAUGGC
rnacentral:lncRNA from 1 species